AUGUGAAAUAUCGGCCUAUGGCCGAUGUGAAAUAUUCGGCUGCGCCGAAUGUGAAAUGUGGCUUAUCAGCCACGUGAUAUAAUGU
rnacentral:sRNA from 1 species